rnacentral:rRNA from 1 species
UACGGAGGAUUCAAGCGUUAUCCGGAUUUAUUGGGUUUAAAGGGUGCGUAGGCGGUCGGAUAAGUUAGAGGUGAAAUCCCGAGGCUCAACUUCGGAAUUGCCUCUGAUACUGUUCGGCUAGAGAGUAGUUGCGGUAGGCGGAAUGUAUGGUGUAGCGGUGAAAUGCUUAGAGAUCAUACAGAACACCGAUUGCGAAGGCAGCUUACCAGUCUGCGACUGACGCUCAGGCACGAAAGUGUGGGUAUCGAACAGG